CUGCGCUGUACGACUUCACUAAUCAUGAAUCUACCGUGGUAAUCGCCCUCCUUACAGUUGAGCUAACUACUUCUGGUAAACCCACUCAUGGUGUGACAGGCAGUGUGUACAAGACCCGAGAACAUGUUCACCGCGACAUGCUGAUCCACUUGAUUACUAAUCGACUUCCAUGAUCGAGUUGCAGACUGCGAUCGGCUGAUCGGGUUUCUGGGAUUGGCUCCCCCUCGCAGGUUAGCGACCCUCUGUCCGACCAUUGUAUGACGUGUGAAAGCCCUGCCUGUAAAGGGCCGCGAGACAACGUCAUCACCUUCCUCAGUUUGUCACCGGCGAUCUCGUGCGAAAUGCCCUUUCGUAGCAACUAAUGACCGGGGUUUGUCGUUGAGACUUAGCAACAUCUCACGGCGAAACAACGACAGCCAUGCUGUACCUGUCGUUCAGUUCUACGCGGCAUCUAAAAUCUCUUCAGGUUCAGACAUGUCAAGGAAGUAGGUAGGUUUUUCUCGCGUUGCAUCAAUUAAUCCACAUCAUCCACCGCUUGUAUAAGUCCCAAAUCAAUUCCUUUUGAAGUUUUAAUCUUACGUCCGUACUCCCAGGCGGUCAACCACGCGUUAACUGCUUCUACAGCCAGAAGGCCCCAACAGCUAGUUAGUAUCGAUUUUAGAGCGUGGACUGCCAGGAGUAUCUAAUCCUGUUUGCUCCAACUUUCGUGCAUGAACCGUCAGUGUUAUCCCAGGAGGCUGCCUUCGCCAUCGGUGUUCCUCCGCAUAUCUGCGCAUUCCACUACUACACGCGGAAUUCCACCUCAUACGGCCUCUGGCUCGGUAGUUAAAAAUGCAGUUCCAAGUUAAGCUCUAGGAUUUCACAUCUUCUUUCGAAUAUAUACGCGCUUUGCGUAAUGUUCGAGUGCUUACGCUGCACCCUACAUAAUGCCGCGGCUGCCUUUGUGGAUUAUCGGUGCUUAUUCUGCAAGUACAAAUCGGUGCUGGUAUUAUCAUGCGUUUCUUUCCUGCCAAAAGUGGCACACGGCCGAAGGCAGCCCUACCAUCACCCCGCCAGGAUGGCUGGAUCGAGUUUUCCCCAUUGUCAAAAUUCCCCACUGCUGCACUCCGUAGAGUCUGGGCGUGUCUCAGUCCCAGUGUGGCUGGUCGUCCUCAAACCAGCUACGGAUCGUCGCCCGAGGUAGCCGUUACCCGCAACUAGCUAAUCCGAUAUCGGCCGCUCUAAUAGUGCGGGGGCGAAGGUCCGCUUUCCCGGAAGGGCGUAUGCGGUAUUAGCUACGCUUUCGCGUAGUUAUCCCCGCUACUGAGCACGUUCCGAUGCAUUACUCACCGUUCGCCACUCGCCACCAGACCAGAAGUCCGUGCUGCCGUUCGACUUGCAUGUGUAAAGCAUCCGCCAGCGUUCAAUCUGAGCCAGUCGAACC
rnacentral:rRNA from 1 species